rnacentral:rRNA from 1 species
CUGGGGGGUGCUUACCAUGCAAGUCGAACGGAGAAUACUAAGAAGCUUGCUUUGAGGUGUUCUCAGUGGCGGACGGGUGAGUAACGCGUGAGGAACCUGGUUCAUACAGGGGGAUAACAUAGGGAAACUUAUGCUAAUACCGCAUAAGACCACGGAGCCGCAUGGCUCGGGGGUCAAAGGAGAAAUCCGGUAUGAAAUGGACUCGCGUCCCAUUAGAUAGUUGGCGGGGUAACGGCCCACCAAGUCGACGAUGGGUAGCCGAGCUGAGAGGCUGAACGGCCACACUGGAACUGAGAGACGGUCCAGACUCCUACGGGAGGCAGCAGUGGGGAAUAUUGGGCAAUGGGCGAAAGCCUGACCCAGCAACGCCGCGUGAGUGAAGAAGGUUUUCGGAUUGUAAAACUCUGUCCUUGGGGACGAAGGAAGUGACGGUACCCGAGGAGGAAGCCCCGGCUAACUACGUGCCAGCAGCCGCGGUAAUACGUAGGGGGCAAGCGUUGUCCGGAAUUACUGGGCGUAAAGGGCGUGUAGGCGGCCUUUUAAGUUUCGUGUGAAAACCCCGUUUUCAAGGCGGGAGGUGCACGGGAUACUGGAGGGCUUGAGUGCAGGAGAGGGAAGUGGAAUUCCAAGUGUAGCGGUGAAAUGCGUAGAGAUUUGGAGGAACACCAGUGGCGAAGGCGACUUUCUGGACUGCAACUGACGCUGAGACGCGAAAGCGUGGGGAGCAAACAGGAUUAGAUACCCUGGUAGUCCACGCUGUAAACGAUGAAUGCUAGGUGUGGGAGGUAUCGACCCCUUUCCGUGCCGCAGUUAACACAUA